rnacentral:rRNA from 1 species
GACAGAGGGUGCAAACGUUGUUCGGAAUUACUGGGCGUAAAGCGCGUGUAGGCGGCUAAGUAAGUCGGGCGUGAAAUCCCACGGCUCAACCGUGGAAGUGCACUCGAAACUGCAUAGCUAGAGUCCUGGAGAGGAAGGUGGAAUGCUUGGUGUAGAGGUGAAAUUCGUAGAUAUCGGGAGGAACACCUGUGGCGAAGGCGGCCACCUGGACAACUACUGACACUGAGACGCGAAAGCGUGGGUAGCAAACAGG